UGGCUCUGUAAUCUACUUCAUAACUCCAUGGUUGGAUGAGGGCGGGAAAGAGCACUUAGAGGCUGCCAUUUUGUGCCAGGCACCGUACUUGGUUCUCUACAAAUGUUACUUCAUUUCUUCUACACACAGUCCUGUGGAGGGAGAUAUUUUCCCUCCCUCCCUCCCUCCCUCCCUCCCUUCCUUCUUUCCUUCUUUCCUUCUUCCUUUUUUGCUCUUUCUUUCUUUUCUUCCUUUCUCUCUCCCUCCCUCCCUUCCUUCGUUCUUUUUUUUUUCCAGGGUCUAGCUCUGUCACUCAGGCUGGAGUGCAGUGGUAGAAUCUCGGCUCACGGCAGCCUCAACCUCCCAGGCUCAGGGAGGUAUUUUCUCUUUCUUUGUUUGUUUCUCUUUCUUUUUUGUCUUUCUUUUAUUUUUAUUUUUCUCUCUUUGCUUUUUUUUUUUUUUUUUUUAAACAGGGUCUAACUCUGUCAUCCAACCUCCCAGGCUCAAGCUAUCCUCCCACUUCAGCCUCCCAAGUAGCUGGGACUACAGGCGUCACCAUGCCCGGUUAAUUUUUAGAUUUUUAAAUUAUGUUGCCCAGGCUGGUCUUAGUCUUGAAUUCCUGAGCUCAAGCGAUCCUCCUGCCUCAGCCUCCCAAAGUGCUGGGAUUACAGGCAGGAGCCAUCGUGCCCGGCCUUGAGGGAGAUAUUUUCAUCCCUAUUUUCCAGGCUCAGAGAAGUAAAGUGACCUGGCCAAAAAUCACACAAUUGGUUAGUGAUGACCCCAAGAUUUCAACCCUUUUCUGUGAAUUCCAAAACGGAUUCUUUGCACGAAUUUUCCUGAUUGUGUAAGAUUCGAAGCCCUCGCCCUGGGCGCCAGGGUUCCUGGAGGGCGGAGUCCGGCAGGGCGAGGGUAGUCUGGUGGGCGGGAAGGGACUGGCCGCAUAAAGCAAACAGCGCAGCCCACUUUGGCCUCCAGCCGCCCCGGUCCUGGCUCUUGGCCCCGCUGGGAUCUGGGGUGUCUGGCCAUGCGUGAGCACGAGGUGGCGCUGCGGGCCGGGAGCCUCCGCACGGGCAGGGAGGGGCCGCGCGGACUCCCGGGUCGGCGAGGCCCGCCGGGGCUUCCGCUCUCCUUAUGGCUGGCAGGAGGCCAGGGCUGCGGGGUGCAGGGCAGGUUCCCCACGGGAAGGACGAGCCCGCCCAGCGUGAUGGCAUCCGCGCCCAUGCUCUCACUGGGCCUUCACCCUGCCCCGUUUUGCAGAGGAGGAAGCUGCAGCUCGGGCGGAGGUGACCUGCUCCAGAACUGAUUGCCGCAGAAGCCCCCUCCUUCCCUUCGCUGCCCUCCGCACGCUUUGGCCCUGUCUUUAAGGCCUUUUUGUUCCAUGGCCCUCCCGCAAGGACUCCUUCCACAAGCGGGGACUUGGGAAGACCCGGACCCAUUGGGUGAAAGUACCGUGAUCCCUACCUCCAUCUGAAUCCUCUCCUGUCCCAGGAAAUGUAGGGGAAGUGGAGAACAAACAGGAGGACUGUGGGGGCCCGGGGUCUCACCCUGACCUCCCUCUCCUCCACACCGCCCGGCGCCAAGCCUCAGCUCUUUCCUACCUUGACCGCUGGGUGCCAGCCUCGGACCCAGGGCCUCAAGCUGAUACUUCUCCCUGGGGAGGCCUGAUUACAAGAUGGGCAAGCUCCCACCAGUGCAUAUGGCCUGAAUGUUCUGGGCACAGAGUAGGGAUCAGGAAAAACCUGUCAUUGGUGAUGAUGGUAGACAUUCCCUGUAGACUGGCCAGUUAGAAGGAAGAACUUGGUGACAGCAGAGCCACCCAGAUGAGCUCCAAGUGUGAUCUCUGUCAGUGGAAGUGUGCAAACAGGAGCUGGGGUACCAUAGCAGCUGAAGCACCAAGGAAGAACAAAAUACUGUUGCAGUUCAGAGGAGGGAGGUGGAAGGGGCCAAGGAAGCUUCUGCGGGCGGGCAAGAACUAGGUCUACUGGAUAGGAAGGAGGUUGAGAGACAGGGGUGAGGGCAAGGGCAAGGUCCCACAGUAACGCCUGAGCAAGAGAACAGGUGUGCAAGGGCCUGCAUGCUCAUGGCUAUGGCUGGAGCUGGGGUGGCAGGAACAGUGGGGUAGGGCCACGGGAGAUGAGAGGUGAACAGGGUGCAGGAACUCCCUCCUUCACGUCACCUUACUCCCCAAAUCCUGAGAUUAUCAGGCUUUUCAGGGAGAACAAGCUGCCCAGGGCAGGGCCUAACCUGAUUCAUCUUUGUGGCCCCAGAGCCCAGCCCAGGGAUUGCCAGUGGACACUGGCUGAGUAAAGCAAAGAACUUUUUAUAGUGUUUAUUAAAUCAAGGACCGGUUAGAUAGAUGAUGGGCUAGGCAGGUGGGGGAAGACAGAGCUCACUGCCCCUUGGAGAUCCCAGCCAGAUGAGGCUCCAGAACUGCA
rnacentral:lncRNA from 1 species